rnacentral:misc_RNA from 1 species
CCCCCUGCAAUUUGUCUCAUGAGACUGUCCAUACUAGCUGCAGGCACCCAAGCUCUGUAUGCGAAUUUGUCUGCAAUAGCCUGAUUCUCAUAGAUUAACUUUGCCAGGCUUGUCUUGCCAGUGCCUUCCAUGCCCACAAUUGAAAUAGUCAGGCAAUUUGGAUCAUCUCUAAGCAACAUCUCCACAAUAUCAUCUAUAUCUCCAUCAAAGAUAGAAAUAUCAGGUUUUUCUUCAACCUUGCAAGGAAGAGGAUGUGGUGGUAUUCUCAUUGGUAGCCUUUCAAAACGUUCAAUUGGUCGUUGAAUGGCAUUG